GCCCGGAUAGCUCAGUUGGUAGAGCAGGGGACUGAAAAUCCCCGUGUCCUUGGUUCGAUUCCAAGUCUGGGCA
rnacentral:tRNA from 1 species